rnacentral:rRNA from 1 species
GGGUAUUAAUACAUGCAAGUCGUGGGGCAGCGCAGUGUAGCAAUACAUGGGCGGCGACCGGCAAACGGGUGCGGAACACGUACACAACCUUCCUACAAGUGGGGAAUAGCCCAGAGAAAUUUGGAUUAAUACCCCGUAACAUAUAGAGAUGGCAUCAUUUUUAUAUUAUAGCUACGGCGCUUGUUGAUGGGUGUGCGGCUGAUUAGGUAGUUGGCGGGGUAACGGCCCACCAAGCCUUCGAUCAGUAGCUGAUGUGAGAGCAUGAUCAGCCACACGGGCACUGAGACACGGGCCCGACUCCUACGGGAGGCAGCAGUAAGGAAUAUUGGACAAUGGGCGCAAGCCUGAUCCAGCCAUGCCGCGUGAAGGAUUAAGGUCCUCUGGAUUGUAAACUUCUUUAUAAGGACGAAAACGGAAUUCUUCUCACUUGACGGUACCUUAUGAAUAAGCACCGGCUAACUCCGUGCCAGCAGCCGCGGUAAUACGGAGGGUGCAAGCGUUAUCCGGAUUCACUGGGUUUAAAGGGUGCGUAGGCGGGUAUUUAAGUCAGUGGUGAAAUCCUAGAGCUUAACUCUAGAACUGCCAUUGAUACUAUUUAUCUUGAAUAUUGUGGAGGUAAGCGGAAUAUGUCAUGUAGCGGUGAAAUGCUUAGAUAUGACAUAGAACACCUAUUGCGAAGGCAGCUUACUACGCAUAUAUUGACGCUGAGGCACGAAAGCGUGGGGAUCAAACAGGAUUAGAUACCCUGGUAGUCCACGCCCUAAACGAUGGAUACUCGACAUACGCGAUACACUGUGUGUGUCUGAGCGAAAGCAUUAAGUAUCCCACCUGGGAAGUACGACCGCAAGGUUGAAACUCAAAGGAAUUGGCGGGAACC